UACGGAGGAUCCGAGCGUUAUCCGGAUUUAUUGGGUUUAAAGGGUGCGCAGGCGGGAGAUUAAGUCGGCGGUGAAAUUUUGCAGCUCAACUGUAAAAGUGCCUUCGAAACUGGUUUCCUUGAGUGUAGAUGAAGUAGGCGGAAUUUGUGGUGUAGCGGUGAAAUGCAUAGAUAUCACGAGGAACUCCGAUUGCGCAGGCAGCUUACUAAACUACUACUGACGCUCAUGCACGAAGGCGUGGGGAUCAAACAGGAUUAGAUACCCGU
rnacentral:rRNA from 1 species